rnacentral:rRNA from 1 species
ACAAGCAGUGGGAGCCUCUUUAUGGGGUGACUGCGUACCUUUUGUAUAAUGGGUCAGCGACUUAUAUUCUGUAGCAAGGUUAACCGAAUAGGGGAGCCGAAGGGAAACCGAGUCUUAACUGGGCGUUAAGUUGCAGGGUAUAGACCCGAAACCCGGUGAUCUAGCCAUGGGCAGGUUGAAGGUUGGGUAACACUAACUGGAGGACCGAACCGACUAAUGUUGAAAAAUUAGCGGAUGACUUGUGGCUGGGGGUGAAAGGCCAAUCAAACCGGGAGAUAGCUGGUUCUCCCCGAAAGCUAUUUAGGUAGCGCCUCGUGAAUUCAUCUCCGGGGGUAGAGCACUGUUUCGGCAAGGGGGUCAUCCCGACUUACCAACCCGAUGCAAACUGCGAAUACCGGAGAAUGUUAUCACGGGAGACACACGGCGGGUGCUAACGUCCGUCGUGAAGAGGGAAACAACCCAGACCGCCAGCUAAGGUCCCAAAGUCAUGGUUAAGUGGGAAACGAUGUGGGAAGGCCCAGACAGCCAGGAUGUUGGCUUAGAAGCAGCCAUCAUUUAAAGAAAGCGUAAUAGCUCACUGGUCGAGUCGGCCUGCGCGGAAGAUGUAACGGGGCUAAACCAUGCACCGAAGCUGCGGCAGCGACACUAUGUGUUGUUGGGUA